rnacentral:lncRNA from 1 species
AGUAGGUCACUUCCAAAUUUGAAGAGCUGUAGUGAACAACGCCGGGGCCCGACAGUCAGUCGGGACCCCGGGCUUUGAAAUAAUAUUAUUUAUAAAUAUUCACUUCCCCAUUAUUAUAGUUAUAGACAGUUGAACUUUUAAGUGUGCUGUCAGUUUUAUUUUAUAUUGUAACAGUACUUGGAGUUCUUAUAGCCUGUAAUUAUGUAUACAUACAAAUAUGUUAUGUGUCUAAUUGAACGGCAUACUAAACAACUACAUUCAACUGAAAUGCCAAUAUGAAUGGCGGCUCCUUCAUUCGGCGUCUUUCUGCGACUAAAUUCUAUUGUUUCAUCUUCAAUAAAUAUACCACAAUCAAGGAGCUGAAGAUACAGGUGAUAUGAAAACAUCUUGAUAGACCUUCCCAAAGAUAGUUUAGUUUUAGAUAUUAAAUUUUCCGAUUAAGUUCAUAGGUGUAGGGAUAUAAAUAGUUGAGUGCUCAAUUGUGUUAUUUGAAUUCAUACAACACAUUUUGUAGUUUACGUAAGUACCAUUAUUUGAAGUUAACAGUUUCUCGGUUCAAAUCUGCACAACUUUGGAUAAUGAGUGCCUUAAUGACUAUUGUUUGUUUAAAGUUAUUAGUUGCCAAUAUCGUUUUUGUUUUCAAUGUUACGUUAAUUUGUUUCAAUUUUGCUUCAAUUACUUGUUACUGUUUUUUGUUUGUUACAAUUAAACCCGAAUUGUUAAUCAUCACAAAUGUAAAAAAACAGAGAUAAAAAAAAAUACCCAUAAAAUGUUGCUGUUCAUAGUGAUAUUCAAGUACUAUUUUCUUAUUUAAUACUUCAGUUAAAGUUAAACGUUACGAUUUUGUUAUUUGAAAUUUCAAAUGCGCGGCUUACGAGUAUGUUUUGCAAAUUAAUCGUUGACUUGUUGUGUUUAGUUAAGUUUGCCAGUUCAUUCGUUAGAAGUUACAUUGCACAGUUAAGUUUGUUCUUCAACCUUUUCAAUCUUCAUUGAAUGUGAAGUUACGUUUUAUUAUUGAUUUUUUGUUUGAAAACCAAAAUGCCAGCCGGUCUGGUAGUAUUUCAUUUGAAGGUUCAUCAAUAAAAUAAAACAUUAUGUUUUAAUCGACUGACAAACAAUGUUCUUCUUGAUUUAUUUGUUUCGAAUAGUUGAUUUUUUGUUUUGUUAAUUUUUGCUUACCAUAAAACAGGUCAUUCUUUUUAAUUUUUAUUUCCGAAUUUACUAUUUUUACUAUCAUUAUUAAAUUUCCAUAUUAAGUUUCAUUACAUCCAAUCAAAGCAAAUUGUUAAACAAUAUUUUCAUUUUUUCUUUGACUCGUUGAAUUGGCUGUUAUAAAAUAGUUGAGUUUUUGUUUUGUUUCUGAAUAAUUUUAAACUUUGCCUAUGUCCGUGAUUACGAAUACUUAUUAACACGAUAUUUUUAAUACUAAUCUCUAACCAAAAUGUAAUCAGUAUGCUUCUUUUCUUUACUACACUGCACUAAGUAUUUGUCGAUUGUUUUGUUAAAUUUCGAAACACGAUGUGCCUUAUCUUAAAGUGCCUGAAUUCAUUA